UCUACGGGAGGCAGCAGUGAGGAAUAUUGGUCAAUGGGCGCGAGCCUGAACCAGCCAAGUCGCGUGAGGGAAGACGGUCCUAUGGAUUGUAAACCUCUUUUGUCGGGGAGCAAAAGACGCCACGCGUGGCGUUCCGAGAGUACCCGAAGAAAAAGCAUCGGCUAACUCCGUGCCAGCAGCCGCGGUAAUACGGGGGAUGCGAGCGGUAUCCGGAUUUAAUGGGGUGAAAGGGUGCGCAGGCGGAAGAUCAAGUCGGCGGUAAAAUUGAGAGGCUCAACCUCUUCGAGCCGUUGAAACUGGUUUGCUUGAGUGAGUGAGAAGUAUGCGGAAUGCGUGGUGUAGCGGUGGAAUGCAGAGAUAACACGCAGAACUCCGAUUGCGAAGGCAGCAUACCGGCGCUCAACUGACGCUCAUGGACGAAAGUGUGGGUAUCGAACAGGAUUAGAUACCCGGGUAGUC
rnacentral:rRNA from 1 species